rnacentral:rRNA from 1 species
UACAGAGGGUGCAAACGUUGUUCGGAAUUACUGGGCGUAAAGCGCGUGUAGGCGGCUCUGUAAGUCGGAUGUGAAAUCCACGGCUCAACCAUGGAAGUGCAUUCGAAACUACAGGGCUAGAGUUCUGGAGAGGAAGGUGGAAUGCUUGGUGUAGAGGUGAAAUUCGUAGAUAUCAAGCGGAACACCGGUGGCGAAGGCGGCCUUCUGGACAGUAACUGACGCUGAGACGCGAAAGCGUGGGGAGCAAACA